rnacentral:rRNA from 1 species
AAACUAACAAGGAUUCCCCUAGUAACUGCGAGUGAAGCGGGAAAAGCUCAAAUUUAAAAUCUGGCGGCUUUGGUCGUCCGAGUUGUAUUCUAGAGAAGUGUUUUCCGCGUUGGACCGUGUAUAAGUCUCUUGGAAUAGAGCGUCAUAGAGGGUGAGAAUCCCGUCUUUGACACGGACUACCAAUGCUUUGUGAUACACUCUCAAAGAGUCGAGUUGUUUGGGAAUGCAGCUCAAAAUGGGUGGUAAAUUCCAUCUAAAGCUAAAUAUUGGCGAGAGACCGAUAGCGAACAAGUACCGUGAGGGAAAGAUGAAAAGCACUUUGGAAAGAGAGUUAAACAGUACGUGAAAUUGCUGAAAGGGAAACGCUUGAAGUCAGUCGCGUUAGCUAGAACUCAACCAGGCUUGCUUGGCGUAUUUUCUAGUUAACGGGCCAGCAUCAGUUUUGACCGCAGGAAAAGGACCAGGGAAAUGUGGCAUCUUCGGAUGUGUUAUAGUCUCUGGUCGUAUACUGUGAUUGGGACUGAGGACCGCAGCACGCGCAAGCUGUGCUUAGGAUGCUGGCGUAAUGGCUUUAAACGACC